CUAGAGCUCAUAUCGAUGUCUCAGGCGAUUCUCAACCUUCCGUCACCGACACAUAGAGCUCUUUUCGUCUGAUAACCCACGCGCACGUGCCUCUCACACCUGCGACGCUGUUUGUUCGUAUGUCCGUGUGUGUGUGUGUUUUAUGUAUAUGAGAACGUCUAGUGUCCAGUGCAUGCAGCACAGACAAACAAACAUACAGAAAGGCAAACAAAGAGACAAACACCUUGAAACAAUAAUCUCAAAGCUAGGAUCUUCUGACAUAACGAAAUCAUCCUUUACAUUUGUAUUCAACACGUUGUAGAAAGCAUAUGCGAUCUCACCCCCAGUAGGACACGCACGGACGCACGCACGCCCGCCCGCCCGCCCGCCCGCCCGGACGCACGCACGCACAGAGGGCUGAGGUGAGGCUGCUGGCCCCACAGUACGGGAGGUGCCGCUCUGCCGUUAACUCCGGGUUGUGGUGCCGGGCGCUCUCUGGGGUCCUUGUCUCGCUCCCAACCAAGGAGAGCUGAUCGGGACAGCUCACUGGCUCGAUAUGUUUUAGGAAAUUCAACAGAAAACAAAACAUUAACGACCACUGCCAUGAUAAUGUGAUAUCAUAAAUAGAAAUAAAAAACCCACAUAUCAUCCUCCGCCGUCUCCAUAUCCGCCUUAUAUAAUGAAUAAAAGAUAACGAAGGGCGUGAGGGCGCAGAAACGACCCCACAUAUCACGUAGGACGACAUCUUUUUUUUCUCGCUCUCUCGAUCUUCUUCCUCGUAAGAGCUAAGCAUCACCGAGAUAUAUGGCGAAGUGUCCGUCGGUGAUCAGGUCGAGAGAGUGAAAUAAGAGCCCGGAGUGUCUUCCUCCCCCCACCCAAAUCCUCCUCCUCCUCCUCCUCCUCCUCCUCCUCCUCCUCCUCCUCCUCCUCCUCCUCCCGACCCCCCCCGUGAUCAGAUCGAAAGUGAAAUAAGAGGGUUGAGUAUCACCCUCCCCCCCUCCCCCUCCCCCCACCCCUCCUCCCCUUUAAACAGACGAUGAGGACGCUCUGGAAAUAUUUCGUGCGGUGAGAGCGGGGGAAGGAAAAUAAAGGAAGAGGGGAGAUAAAUAAGGAAAAGAAAGAAAGAAAGAAAGG